UUGAACGCGAAGAACCUUACCAAGGCUUGACAUGUGCCGGACCGUCCCAGAGAUGGGGUCUUCCCUUUGGGGCCGGUUCACAGGUGGUGCAUGGUUGUCGUCCGCUCGUGUCGUGAGAUGUUGGGUUAAGUCCCGCAACGAGCGCAACCCUCGUUCCAUGUUGCCAGCACUUCGGGUGGGGACUCAUGGGAGACUGCCGGGGUCAACUCGGAGGAAGGUGGGGACGACGUCAAAUCAUCAUGCCCCUUAUGUCUUGGGCUUCACGCAUGCUACAAUGGCCGGUACAAAGGGUUGCGAUACUGUGAGGUGGAGCCAAUCCCAGAAAGCCGGUUUCAGUUCGGAUUGGGGUCUGCAACUCGACCCCAUGAAGUCGGAGUCGGUAGUAAUCGCAGAUCAGCAACGCUGCGGUGAAUACGUUCCCGGGUCUUGUACACACCCAA
rnacentral:rRNA from 1 species